ACCUGGGUGGCUCAGUUGGAAGAGCAUGAGACUCUUGAUCUUGGGGUUGUGAGUUUGAGCCCCACGUUGGGUG
rnacentral:tRNA from 1 species